rnacentral:lncRNA from 1 species
AGCAAAGUCAGGCUAAGGAAGGAAAAGGUGCACUGAGUACGCAGCACUCGCCCAGCCGGCUCCUUAAAAGGGCAGCCUGCAAGAAAGGUGUUUGGCUCCUCGUCGAGCGUCAUUCUGCUGAGGCUCAGAGAGGUUGCUCUGCCGGCCUAAGACCACCAGCCAGGAAGCUGGAGAGCCAGGAUUGCAAUCCAGAGCUGCCUGCGCCAUAGUCCGUGCUCUGCUGCCCGUGGAAGAGGCUCGCGGGACUCCAGUCUGGCGGCGGGGUGUGACCCCGGCCUCCCUGAUUACCUGCAAGGCUCCGGAUGCCUGGAAUCCGCUGCAGCCCAGUGAGGAAGAUAAGGCUGUACGGAGGUGAGACGAGACCCC